UGAUCCUGGCUCAGAUUGAACGCUGGCGGCAGGCCUAACACAUGCAAGUCGAGCGGCAGCGACUUAACUGAACCUUCGGGGAACGUUAAGGGCGGCGAGCGGCGGACGGGUGAGUAAUGCCUGGGAAUAUGCCCUGAUGUGGGGGAUAACUAUUGGAAACGAUAGCUAAUACCGCAUAAUCUCUUCGGAGCAAAGAGGGGGACCUUCGGGCCUCUCGCGUCAGGAUUAGCCCAGGUGGGAUUAGCUUGUUGGUGAGGUAAUGGCUCACCAAGGCAACGAUCCCUAGCUGGUCUGAGAGGAUGAUCAGCCACACUGGAACUGAGACACGGUCCAGACUCCUACGGGAGGCAGCAGUGGGGAAUAUUGCACAAUGGGGGAAACCCUGAUGCAGCCAUGCCGCGUGUGUGAAGAAGGCCUUCGGGUUGUAAAGCACUUUCAGUAGGGAGGAAGGUAGUGUAGUUAACACCUGCAUUAUUUGACGUUACCUACAGAAGAA
rnacentral:rRNA from 1 species